rnacentral:rRNA from 1 species
UCAGCUCGUGCCGUGAGGUGUCGGCUUAAGUGCCAUAACGAGCGCAACCCACGUUGUCAGUUACUAUCGGGUAAAGCCGAGGACUCUGACAAGACUGCCGUCGUAAGGCGCGAGGAAGGUGUGGAUGACGUCAAAUCAGCACGGCCCUUACAUCCGGGGCGACACACGUGUUACAAUGGUGGGGACAAAGGGCAGCUACUUGGUGACAAGAUGCGAAUCUCCAAACCCCAUCCCAGUUCGGAUCGUAGUCUGCAACUCGACUAUGUGAAGCUGGAUUCGCUAGUAAUCGCGCAUCAGCCAUGGCGCGGUGAAUACGUUCCCGGGCCUUGUACACACCGCCCGUCAAGCCAUGGGAGUCGGGAGUACCUAAAGCACGUAACCGCGAGGGGCGUG